ensembl:misc_RNA Y_RNA Y RNA
GGCUAGUCUGAAAACAGUGAAUUAUCUCAGCUGACUGUUCACAGUCAGUUACAGAUUGAACUUAUUCUACUCUUUCCCUUUUUCUCACUGUUGCACUUGAUAGUCUUAA